rnacentral:rRNA from 1 species
CAGUGGCAAGGUUAACCAUCUAGGGGAGCCGUAGGGAAACCGAGUCUUAACUGGGCGUUCAGUCUCUGGAUAUAGACCCGAAACCAGGUGAUCUAGCCAUGGGCAGGUUGAAGGUUGAGUAACAUCAACUGGAGGACCGAACCGACUAAUGUUGAAAAAUUAGCGGAUGACUUGUGGCUAGGGGUGAAAGGCCAAUCAAACCUGGAGAUAGCUGGUUCUCCCCGAAAGCUAUUUAGGUAGCGCCUCGGACGAAUACUACUGGGGGUAGAGCACUGUUAAGGCUAGGGGGUCAUCCCGACUUACCAACCCUUUGCAAACUCCGAAUACCAGUAAGUACUAUCCGGGAGACACACGGCGGGUGCUAACGUCCGUCGUGGAGAGGGAAACAACCCAGACCGCCAGCUAAGGUCCCAAAUUACUACUAAGUGGGAAACGAUGUGGGAAGGCUCAGACAGCCAGGAUGUUGGCUUAGAAGCAGCCAUCAUUUAAAGAAAGCGUAAUAGCUCACUGGUCGAGUCGGCCUGCGCGGAAGAUGUAACGGGGCUAAGUAGUAAACCGAAGCUGCGGCAAUGUGCUUUUGCACAUUGGGUAGGGGAGCGUUCUGUAAGCGGUUGAAGGUGUGUGGUAACGCAUGCUGGACGUAUCAGAAGUGCGAAUGCUGACAUGAGUAACGAUAAAGGGGGUGAAAAACCUCCUCGCCGGAAGACCAAGGGUUCCUGUCCAACGUUAAUCGGGGCAGGGUAAGUCGACCCCUAAGGCGAGGCCGAAAGGCGUAGUCGAUGGGAAACGGGUUAAUAUUCCCGUACUUCUUACAAUUGCGAUGGGGGGACGGAGAAGGCUAGGUGGGCCUGGCGACGGUUGUCCAGGUUCAAGUGCGUAGGCUUAAGAGUUAGGUAAAUCCGGCUCUUUUUAAGGCUGAGACACGACGUCGAGCACCUACGGGUGUGAAGUCAUUGAUGCCAUGCUUCCAGGAAAAGCCUCUAAGCUUCAGAUUGUAAGGAAUCGUACCCCAAACCGACACAGGUGGUCGGGUAGAGAAUACCAAGGCGCUUGAGAGAACUCGGGUGAAGGAACUAGGCAAAAUGGUACCGUAACUUCGGGAGAAGGUACGCUCUUGAUGGUGAAGUCCCUCGCGGAUGGAGCUGACGAGAGUCGCAGAUACCAGGUGGCUGCAACUGUUUAUUAAAAACACAGCA